rnacentral:lncRNA from 1 species
GUCUGCGCCGAUUCAAUUGUUGGUUCAAUAUAGCUAGGCUCUACCAGCCCCUAAAAUUCCUUCGAUCGUAAGAAAUUUUCCAUCAACAUGCUCCAAUGGUCAUAGUGACCAUCAAAGCGAGGAAUGGUUGGCUGUAUAAAACUCCCUUCUAUAGUCAUCUUCUGUGCUACUGCAAGAACUUCAAAGACUGCUGCUUUGAUAUGUCAGGCCCAAUGGGGGCUCUGAUACCAAAUUUUUGGGAACUUUGAUGAAACUAAGAACAAUAACACAACAAGCUGGAUUGAAUGACACAUUUUAUUAACAAUAACUUUGGCUUAAAUAGCCAUUCAAUAUAGAUCUAAACAGAAAACGAGAAAGCAGAGGAGAUAAAGAUAAAGCUAAGUAACAGAAACUUGGAACAGUUCAAAUAUCCCUAAAGAGUAGGACUUUCCUUGUAGACCGGAAUAUUAUUGUAACAAAACAACUGUAGUAAAACUCUUUCAAGAUAAUGGGUUCAAGCCAUUUCUCACAUUUUUUAAUAGGACUUUGGAUUUGUGAUUUCAUGGAAGAGAAUUUAAUCGCAUACAUUGCUUUCAUAUUUGUUUGAUCAUGGAAUAUCGUUAUGGAUAAUCACAUCGUUAUUUUCCUAUUUUAUCCUGGUAUUUGAUUUCAUAUUCGUUUGUUGGAUAUGAAUCCAAAAUUUUGUUCGUCUUUAUCUAUUAGAUAUAAAUCCAAAUUCUAUUUAUCUUUAUUUGUUUGAUGUAAAUCGAAAAUUUUGUUUGUUUCUAUUUCUUGGAUAUGAAUCAAAAUUUUGUUUGUCUUUAUUUAUUGGAUAUGAAUACAAAUUAUGUCUAGCUUUAUCUAUUGGAUAUGAAUCCAAAUUUUAUUUCUUUUAUUUCUCCUUCUUCUAUGGUUUUGUGUCUUAUUUUAUCUUUAUUCUAUUUUUUUAUUUUAAUGCGUCUUCCUCUCCUCCUACAACUACUUCUAGAAAUUGUUCUUGAUCCCUUUUUAUGGUAAGCUAUGAAGCCUUUUCAAUUUUUAGUUGGCAAACUCUUGAUACUUUUUACGGUCACAUCAUGUGUUUGUAGGGGAUAUUAGAGUUAUUAAUAUAUUUAGUUACUAUUUUAUAAUUAGAUAUUUAGUUACUAUAUUAAAAUUAUUUUCUUCCUUUUUAGAAGUAAGGGUAAAUUAAUAUUUAUUUUCUUUGAUUAAGCCUAUUCAAAUCGUAAUGGUGUUGUACCACUUUUCAAGAGAAUUCAUAAUGAAAAAUCCUAAUUUUUCUUUUCAUUUCUCUCUUUGUACCAUUUCAUACAAACUUUCACCAUUAUUUUUUUUUUAAGAAAAAAACACAAAUAUGAUGCAAACAUAACACACAAUACCCACAUGUUGCAACUAUUAUUUUCAGAAUAUAAUUUUUAUUUUAUUGUCACUUUUUAAAAUCAUAGCCCAAUUGUCUCAACAUUUAAUACAAAUAAUUUUUCUUCUUAACGAAUAAACAUUUCAUUAUCUUCAUCACGUUGGUUCACAACCAAUUAAAAUAGUCAAAUUUAUAAUUAGUUCCCAAAACUCCGAGGACAUUCUGAAAUUCUUCCUAAUCCUCUUACGAAUUAUUAGGAACAAUAUUUGCAUCUAAAAAGUUUUUAAAAGGAAGUGAUAGAUAUGUCCACAUUACUUAAUAAGGUGGUUUACACCCACAAGGGUUUAUUGGAAAAUCAUUAAUAACUAAGUACAUUGAAAUAAACAUUCAAAUAUUAAUUAAUCCAAACAUUUGAUAUUAAUCAGAAUACACAACAUGAGUACAUCUUGAUAAUUAAAUAAAAACGUAAAUGGACAUACAACACAUAAUCACACAAUGUAUCAUUGUUCUUAGGCUUUUUGUGAUACUCCCUAUGUGAUAUAUAAUAUCCCCCUAAAAUUUCAUAUGAAAUAGAAUACAUUUGGUUUGUGAAACGGCAUCCCGAAGACCCACAAUAUAAAGGUGUCAUCUUCACUAUUCUUUUUUUUCUUUCAUUUUUCCAUUUGGAUGCCAUAGUAAACACCCCCCUUUUUUUUUUCCCAUUGACCUUUCCCUUCCCUUUUUUUAUUUUUUAUUUUUUUAAGACUUCCUAAUUUCCUAAAAAAUUUAUCUUCAAUAAAGACAUAAAUUAUAUUCUCUUACAUGACCACUAAAAUUCUUGGAAUUUGUAUAAUCCAACUUCGAUACUUUUUUUUUUUUUUUUAAUUUUUCGACCACCAUUUUACUAAGAAAGUUUUCCAAUUCAUAAUUUCCUUGUGACCUAAAAGGCCCAAAUAUUACAAUUGGUCUAGGCCUGCCCCCAAAUCAGAGCAAAGAGAUACCUAGCGGGAGAUGACAUAUAGUGGCAUCUACAAACUCUCAAUUGUUGGCUUGGAAAUAAGAUUUAACGUGGAGAUUGUUGAGUGAUGGUUUGUGUUCUUGUAUUUUAGGACUGGUAAUGUGAUUUUAAACUCCUGCCAUGUUCAAGUUCCUAAUUUGCUCAACUCCUUGUUAUUAAAACUUUAUUAUUAUGAUCCUCAGGAAAUCAAACAAACACACUGCCUCACACAAAAUACACUCUAUGAUGCAGUAACCUCUAGGAACUCCAUAGUUUCUCAACACUCCAAAAAUGCAGAAGACACAGAGUUAUCAUUAUAGUGCUGCAAGGGUCAUGUCUCUUUCAAGCCUUCCAGGAAGCAAGGGGUGGAGUGUCAGAGGUCUUCCAGGUCAAUGUGAUGCUCUGGUAUCUGUCACCCUUAACCGCAUCUGCUGAAGCAAUGGAUUCUAGUUCAGCCAUUUCUUCUGGAGUUGGUUUCUCCAACAAAGCCCCAAUGUUUUGGUUGAGGUUUUCAAUCUUGGUAGUUCCCGGAGAGGGACACACAUCAUCCCCCUGGUGAUGGACCCAGGCCAGUGCUAGUUGUGAUGGAGUGCACCCCUUCCUUGUCGCAAUUUCACUAACCCGCUCAUAAAGGAUUUUAUUAUGCUCAAGAUUCUCCGGCUGGAACCUUGGUAGGUUCUGCAAUAUGAAACACGCAUCUCAGUAACAAAAUUGAAAACCCGACAUAAUUGCAUAACAUCAUUAUUCAGUGAUAAUGAAUCAUACGUGCGCUUCUAACAUUAGUUGAUAACACAAUAAGGCAGGUUCUCAGUCAUAAUAUAGAGUCAAGCCCUCUUGUUUAAACAGAUUAUAAGAUCUUGGACAACGUCGACGUCAACUGAAUCAAGUGCCAUUGUGAACAACAUGGCACUAGGUUAUGGCAUUGAGGCAUUUUCAUUACAUGAAUCAUCCAAAUGAACCGCCCUCUUUCUCAAGAAACAGCCUCCCAAAAAUUUAAAAUACAUAAACAAAUGUGCUAGUGUUGUGAGUAAGUUGCAGUAUCAGAGGUCAAAAACCAUUUCCUCAAUUGAGCUUUCCGGCCCUAAUACAAAGAGCCUCAGAGGACAGAUUAUAUAGUGAUUUGAAAGAAAAUAUUGAAUUAAAAUAAGGAGAAAAAUAGAGCAGAAAAAUAAGGGCUAGAUGAGAAAUAAGGACAUGGUAUUCUGGUAGAUGUAAAUGUUCGUCGAUAUUCUAUCUUUUAUAAUCUUUCUGCACAGUUUAGGUGAACUAAAAACUAUACCACCUCUGGGUCACAAAGUUUAUAAAGAAAACAAUUUGUUCUGUGAAUUGUUUCUCCCCAAAACUUAGGUCCUGUCGGUUUGGGUUUGGGCAUGGUUAAUUUGCCGGCAGUGUGUUCAUCACAGCUCUAACAACAAUUAAAACAAACAAGAAUUGUAGCUGUUGGCUGAAGGUGUUUUGUCGUGAUGAACUUCAACCAUCAAAUCAGCACAAAUAAGAUAUAAAAGGGCUUUUUCAACCAACUGAUUAGAUUUUUCUGGUCAGGAAAGCACACUGUCAAAGAGAUAGACUAGAUACGCAUUUACAGAUAAACUUCAUUUCCUUUCUCUUCUUGGCUCUACAAAUUAAAGGAAGUUGCUCCUUUUUUAGUUUUUGCCAAUAUUACUCCAUUUAAACUUCCUAUUGAAACAAUAUUACCUUGUUCAACAUUCCUCUGUAACACCACAAAUAAAAGAAGCAGGAAUAAGAAAUAGCAGUUCAUGUUUGAAUUAAAGAAGGUUUGGGACCCAACACAAUGUAAUCUAUAUUAUGAGAAUUAGAAGGCAUAUGGUAUGUAUACAAACCUUUCUCAAGUCAUUGUCUGAUAAGUUCUCGACCAUCUUGGCCCCUGAAGAAAGGAAUCCACGUCCUAGAGAGCUAUAUGCAACGAUCCCAAUGCCAAGUUCUCUGAGAAAAUAAGAAGGAUGAGUUAGAAAUUAAACUUUUAAAUGCUCUUCAAACAGCUUUUUCGGUCUACCGCCUUACCUGCAAGUUGGAACUAUGUCUUCUUCUACAUCUCUUGACCACAAGGACCACUCCAACUGCACAGAUGUUAUGGGAUGAACUGCAUGUGCUCUUCUGAUUGUUGAAGCAGAGGCCGCAGACAGACCUAUGUACUUUAUCUUACCCUCUUCAACUAGCUUCUUCAGUUCUCCCAUCUUACCGACGAGCAUAUAAAAAAAAGAAAGAUUAAUUACAAAAAAUAAAAUAAAAUAAAAAAUAAAGUUUGAAUUGAUAGGAAUAAAUCAUUUAUAUUAUAAGUUUACCCUAGAUAAGGUAAAGAGGAUUCUUACUACGAUACCAGUGAUUUUUAGAAAGGCCUCAAUUUAGUUACUAUAAUUUAAUCUUACUAUUAAUGAAUCUAAGGGUCAAAUCUAUAAGAUGUAUAUAGGCUUUUAAUGGAAUAAAAUUGGAAAUCAAAAGCAUAUUUAAUUGAUUUAAGAAACUAUGCUUAAAAAAAAACAUCUAAGUUUUGCAUGCAAUAUUAGGUGUAGGAUUCAAUUUGAUCGUGAUUGAUUUUGAUCUUAAACCCUAGAUUUUAUUUGCUCUCUCUCUAAGGAUUUGACACUGCAUCAAGAAACUCUUCAUAACAUUUUUCUUUGUUAGAUUUAUUUCAUUAAAUAUGUUAAGAAAAUUUUGUUCAUAUUUUAUCCUUAUUUAUUUAAAUUAAGGUAUCAUUAAUAUUAGAAAAUAAUUAAUCUUUCUACACAUUAAGUUGAUCCUAAAGGACAAUGAUCCAAAAUACUAUAAACUCAUGGUAAAUCCAUCUUUUGUUUUUCUUGGCCAAAGUUAUCAAAUAUUUAGGGUUUAGUAUUUUAAUUACAACAAAGGUUUAUGAUCGUAAAUCUCACAAACCCAAAAUUCUUCCACCCAAUGGCUCUCUUUCUUCUUGAAUUUAAGCAUUGGAGAUGGUGAAAGUCUCACGGAGAGGUGGUGGUUAGGACUUUCCUCUCUCUAGAGUGCAUAGGAAGACAAAAUUGAAUCCCCAACCCCUAAGGGGAAUUUAUAUAGACUUCUAGUGGAUUUAAGUAACUUGAGCAUGUAUUGAGUUUAGGUCAUUUAAUACAGUCCAAGUGACUUGUCCCGUGGAUCAAACCAUAACAAUACUAGGGUAUACACUUGGAAUAAUGCCUUAUUGAUGGUAUCUAUGAUGGCAUGCUAGAUACAAUAACAAUAGCCUUUAUUGUUAGUCUCCUAAUUAGUAUAAUACUAAAACAAAACUAUCAGCUCCAUUGGCCUGAUAGUGAUGAUGAAAUAAUUCUUUAUUGAUAACACACUAUUUGAUAGUGAAAUAUUAGAGCAAACCUUACUAGCUCCAUUAAUUAGGCCUUGAUGGCACUAAGAGGUUGACAUAAUAUCUCAUUGAUAACACCUUGUAUGUUAGAACAAUGGUUUCAAAUACCACUCUUCCAUUUGUUUUUAGUGAAAUGUAAACAUAAAAAUCACUAGCUUCAUUGUCAAAUCAUGACAAUAAAAAGACAUUGGAAUAAUGCCUCAUUGAUGACAUACUAAAUGUUGGAGUAGUAAGUAACCCAUUCUGUCAGUUCUUCAAUUAGAGACUCAUACAAUUGGCCUCCAUUAUUAAUUGCAAUGAUGUUAAAGGUUCUAUACUAGUUAGUAUAACACAUCUGCCUCUCCAUUAAUACUACAAUAUACUAAAGGUCAAGUAGAACAAAGAACUAGUGUACAACUAGCGAUACUAAAAGAAUAACUCCUUAUGAUCUAUUUUUCAAUGAAAAUAAGCUAACCUUAUUACAUUGGUUAAACUUCUCAUACUAAUCUUAAGUAGACAAAAAAAAUUAGAUGAUAUAAUUUACCCUAGAGUUUAUUAAGAAUGGAUGAUUUUUCCAUUUAAUAAGGUCAAUCUAAAGUAGACAAGAUAAAUGAAGUUCUUGAUGGGAGCCAUUUGCAAAGAUCGAAUUGAAUUAGGUCCAGGAUCCGAGGCCAAAAUUCAAUUUGUAAAGAUAGUUAUUGUUGUGGGACAUGUCUCUCAAUAAAAAAUUAAUAUCUCUUCAUGUUAGUCACCUGGAUUAUAGAGAAAAAAUAAAGUUAUAAGGGAAAAACGUAUUUCCAUACACUCAUAUGAAAAAAUACCGGUUGUAUACUAGUUAGGAUAACACAUUUGCCUCUCCAUUAAUACUACAGUAAACUAAAGGUCAAGUAGAAUAAGGAACUAGUGUGCAACUAGCAAUACUAAAAGAAUAACUCCUUGUGAUCUAUUUUUCAAUGAAAAUAAGCUAACCUUACUACAUUAAUCAAACUUCUCAUACUAAUUUGAAGUAGACAAAAAAAAUUAGGUGAUAAAUUACCCUAGAGUUUAUUAAGAAGUAGAUACUCUAGGGAGGACAACCCACUUAUUUGAAGGAAAUAGAUGGGAGGACCACUCAUUUAUUUGAAGAAAAUAGAUGAGAACAAUUUCACUGAUGACCCAUGACUAACCCACACUAGUCUUCCUCUUAAAAAUGAAUGAAGAAGGUUGUCUUGACCGGCAAUGAAAAAAAUUAAAAAUAUAGUGUGGAGCACGUGAGGUUCAUGUAUUGUGCAUGCUUUUCUUGGAUUUCCUCUUUAUCCAUUUAUAGCAGUGAAUUCGUUCCAAAAAUCCAGAUUUUUCAAUGGCAAAAUCCUCCUUUGCAUCAACAGCCAAUGUGCUGCCUUUUCUUUGUGUUGCCACAUGUCCUUUUUCCUUUUCAGUUUUCAAUAAUAUAACCACAUCCCUAAUUUUCCUAACUUCCCUUAAUUUCAAACAUAUUUCUCAUAUAUUUUUCUUUUAUAUUAUUUUAUAGUGAAGUUAAAUAUAAGAAAAUAAUUUUAUUCAACACUUUGUACUAAGAAAGGGAUAUGAAGUUCUUGAUGGGAGCCAUUUGCAAAGACCGAAUUGGAUUAGGUCCAAGAUUCGAGGCCAAAAUUCAAUUUGUAAAGACAGUUAUUAUUGUGGGACAUGUCUCUCAAUAAAAAAAAUUAAUCUCUCUUCAUCUUAGGCACUUGGAUUGUAGAGAAAAAAAUACUAAAAAAAAAUUAUUAAAGUUACAUUAGCAAUUAGGGAAAACAUGUUUUCAUACACUCAUAUAAAAAUAAAACCGUAAAAUAGAACUCAAGUUUAUAAAAUACAAAUUUUAAGUAACUAUCUAAAAAUAAUUAGUAUUUCAUACACUUUUUUAUCAAAUGUAGUACAUUUGACCAACUUAAGUACUACUUUCAUCAAUAAAAAAAUGAAACUUGAAUUAUUUUUAGAAGGUUCUUAUUUUAUAAUUAUUUUCACGUGAGUGUGUAAAAACUCACUUUUCCUAACAAUUAUGAUGGAUUGGCUAAUUGGUAACUUAGCACUCCAAUGGACAGACUUUCUAUUUUGAUUUUUAAAAAGAGUAAGUUGAAGUAAUUUAUUUAUAAAUAUAGUAACUAUGAUGUAAAUAAGUAUGUAUAUAUGAUGACACAUGGUAGCAUUUACAAGUCAAUGAUCCGCCUAAAAAUAAGAUUUAGAGUCCAUUUGCUAAUAAUUUUAAGAUUUAGAGUCCUUUUGGUAAUAAUUUUAAAAAAAAUCUAUUAUGUAAAUGUUAAAAAAUCUAGAAACGUUUUCUGAAAUCAAUGUCAAAUGCACUUUUCAUGUUGUUUUGUGUUCUUGUAUUUUAGGACUGAUAAUGUAAUUUUAAACUCCUGCAAUGCCCAAGCUCCUAAUUUAUUCAACUCCUUUUUAUUAAAACUUUAGUAUUAUGAUCCUCAGAAAAUCAUAAAAACACACUGCCUCACACAAAACACUCUCUAUGAUGCAGUAACCUCUAGGAACUCCAUAGUUUCUCAACACUCCAAAAACACAUAAAAUGCAAAUACAUACGAGUUUCCGAGGCAAUAAGGAGUUACUUUAAUUGUACUGCAAGUCUGCAAGGAUCAUGCCUCUUUCAAGCUUUCCAGGAAUCAAGGGGUGGAGUGUCUGCUGUCUUCCAUGUAAAUGCAGUGCUCUCAUAUCUAUCACCCUUAACACCAUCUGCUGAAGCAAUGGAUUCUAGUUCAGCCAUUUCUUCUGGAGUUAGUUUCACUGACAAAGCCCCAAUGUUUUGUUUGAGGUUUUCAAUCUUGGUAGUUCCCGGUAUGGGACACACAUCAUCGCCCUGGUGAUGGACCCAGGCCAGUGCUAGCUGUGAUGGAGUGCAUCCCUUCCUUGUCGCAAUUUCACUAACCCUCUCAUAAAGGAUUUUAUUAUGCCCAAGAUUCUCUGGCUGGAACCUUGGUAGGUUCUGCAAUUUGAAACACACAUUUCAGUAACAAAAUUGAAAACCC